rnacentral:rRNA from 1 species
UUGGAAAACGUUGGUUAAUACCGCAUAAAUUUUACGGACCCAAAGGGGGCUUCGGCUCUUCGCCUUUAGAUUGGCCCCAGUGGGAUUAGCUAGUUGGGGAGGUAAAGGCUCACCCAAGGCGACGAUCCCCUAGCUGGUUUGGAGAGGAUGAUCAGCCCCCCUGGAACUGAGACCCGGUCCAGAUUCCUACGGGAGGCAGCAGUGGGGAAUUUUGCACAAUGGGCGCAAGCCUGAUGCAGGCCAUGCCGCGUGUGUGAAGAAGGCCUUCGGGUUGUAAAGCACUUUCAGUCAGGAGGAAAGGUUAGUAGUUAAUACCUGCUAGCUGUGACGUUACUGACAGAAGAAGCACCGGCUAACUCCGUGCCAGCAGCCGCGGUAAUACGGAGGGUGCGAGCGUUAAUCGGAAUUACUGGGCGUAAAGCGUACGCAGGCGGUUUGUUAAGCGAGAUGUGAAAGCCCCGGGCUUAACCUGGGAACUGCAUUUCGAACUGGCAAACUAGAGUGUGAUAGAGGGUGGUAGAAUUUCAGGUGUAGCGGUGAAAUGCGUAGAGAUCUGAAGGAAUACCGAUGGCGAAGGCAGCCACCUGGGUCAACACUGACGCUCAUGUACGAAAGCGUGGGGAGCAAACAGGAUUAGAUACCCUGGUAGUCCACGCCGUAAACGAUGUCUACUAGGAGCUGGGGUCUUCGGACAACUUUUCCAAAGCUAACGCAUUAAGUAGACCGCCUGGGGAGUACGGCCGCAAGGUUAAAACUCAAAUGAAUUGACGGGGGCCCGCACAAGCGGUGGAGCAUGUGGUUUAAUUCGAUGCAACGCGAAGAACCUUACCUACACUUGACAUACAGAGAACUUACCAGAGAUGGUUUGGUGCCUUCGGGAACUCUGAUACAGGUGCUGCAUGG